rnacentral:rRNA from 1 species
AUUGAACGCUGGCGGCAGGCCUAACACAUGCAAGUCGAGCGGAGCGGCGGACGGGUGAGUAAUGCCUAGGAAUCUGCCUGGUAGUGGGGGAUAACGUCCGGAAACGGGCGCUAAUACCGCAUACUAUCAGAUGAGCCUAGGUGGGAUGAGCUAGUUGGUGGGGUAACGGCUCACCUAGGCGACGAUCCCUAGCUGGUCUGAGAGGAUGACCAGCCACACUGGGACUGAGACACGGGCCAGACUCCUACGGGAGGCAGCAGUGGGGAAUAUUGCACAAUGGGCGCAAGCCUGAUGCAGCCAUGCCGCGUGUGUGAAGAAGGCCUUCGGGUUGUAAAGCACUUUCAGCGGGGAGGCGUUACCCGCAGAAGAAGCACCGGCUAACUCCGUGCCAGCAGCCGCGGUAAUAC